rnacentral:rRNA from 1 species
AUUGAACGCUGGCGGCAGGCCUAACACAUGCAAGUCGAGCGGAUGAAGGGAGCUUGCUCCUGGAUUCAGCGGCGGACGGGUGAGUAAUGCCUAGGAAUCUGCCUGGUAGUGGGGGAUAACGUCCGGAAACGGGCGCUAAUACCGCAUACGUCCUGAGGGAGAAAGUGGGGGAUCUUCGGACCUCACGCUAUCAGAUGAGCCUAGGUCGGAUUAGCUAGUUGGUGGGGUAAAGGCCUACCAAGGCGACGAUCCGUAACUGGUCUGAGAGGAUGAUCAGUCAACGUGGACAUGGAAACGGGCCAAGCUCCCUAGGGGGGGCAGAAGGGGGGAAUAUGGGAAAAGGGGCGAAACCCUGAACCAGCCAGGCGGGGUGGGGGAAAAAGGUUUUCGGAUUGUAAAGCCCUUUAAGGGGGGAGGAAGGGCAGUAAGUUAAUCCCUGGCUUUUUGGACGUGACCAAAAAAAAAAGCACCGGCUAACUUCGG